CACGAUGCUCGAAAAGGCCAUUAAGGAGUUGGAGAAGAUGGUUGCAGAAUCAAGACCACCAACCAUGGAAGUUCAGGAUGCUGAUAUUUCAUCUCAGGCAGUCAAGCGGAGGUUGCCACAUGAAGUAAAGCAGAAGCUGGCCAAAGUUGCUAGACUAGCGCAAGCAAACCAUG